AGAGUUUGAUCAUGGCUCAGAGUGAACGCUGGCGGCAUGCCUAACACAUGCAAGUCGAACGGUAACAGGCCCGCAAGGGUGCUGACGAGUGGCGGACGGGUGAGGAAUACAUCGGAAUUUGCCCAGUCGUGGGGGGAUAACGUAGGGAAACUUACGCUAAUACCGCAUACGACCGAGAGGUGAAAGCGGGGGAUCAGCAAUGACCUCGCGCGAGUGGAUGAGCCGAUGUCGGAUUAGCUAGUUGGUAGGGUAAAGGCCUACCAAGGCGACGAUCCGUAGCUGGUCUGAGAGGAUGAUCAGCCACACUGGGACUGAGACACGGCCCAGACUCCUACGGGAGGCAGCAGUGGGGAAUAUUGGACAAUGGGGGCAACCCUGAUCCAGCAAUGCCGCGUGUGUGAAGAAGGCCUUCGGGUUGUAAAGCACUUUUAUCCGGAACGAAACGCGCUUGGUGAAUAGCCAGGUGAACUGACGGUACCGGAGGAAUAAGCACCGGCUAACUUCGUGCCAGCAGCCGCGGUAAUACGAAGGGUGCAAGCGUUACUCGGAAUUACUGGGCGUAAAGCGUGCGUAGGUGGUUUGUUAAGUCCGUUGUGAAAGCCCUGGGCUCAACCUGGGAAUGGCAGUGGAUACUGGCGAGCUAGAGUGCGGUAGAGGGUAGUGGAAUUCCCGGUGUAGCAGUGAAAUGCGUAGAGAUCGGGAGGAACACCAGUGGCGAAGGCGGCUACCUGGACCAGCACUGACACUGAGGCACGAAAGCGUGGGGAGCAAACAGGAUUAGAUACCCUAGUAGUCC
rnacentral:rRNA from 1 species